UGGGUACACCUGCAUUCAUUUUAACCACACCCAAAGGUAGCUCGGCAAGCCAAGCCAUGAAAAACCGGUAUUUUCUAUUUGUGAAUCAUAUCU
rnacentral:sRNA from 1 species